rnacentral:rRNA from 1 species
AGUGAACGCUGGCGGUAGGCCUAACACAUGCAAGUCGAACGGCAGCACAGUAAGAGCUUGCUCUUACGGGUGGCGAGUGGCGGACGGGUGAGGAAUACAUCGGAAUCUACUUUUUCGUGGGGGAUAACGUAGGGAAACUUACGCUAAUACCGCAUACGACCUACGGGUGAAAGCAGGGGAUCUUCGGACCUUGCGCGAUUGAAUGAGCCGAUGUCGGAUUAGCUAGUUGGCGGGGUAAAGGCCCACCAAGGCGACGAUCCGUAGCUGGUCUGAGAGGAUGAUCAGCCACACUGGAGCUGAGACACGGUCCAGACUCCUACGGGAGGCAGCAGUGGGGAAUAUUGGACAAUGGGCGCAAGCCUGAUCCAGCCAUACCGCGUGGGUGAAGAAGGCCUUCGGGUUGUAAAGCCCUUUUGUUGGGAAAGAAGAGCAGCAGGUUAAUACCCCGCUGUUCUGACGGUACCCAAAGAAUAAGCACCGGCUAACUUCGU